rnacentral:rRNA from 1 species
UACGGAGGGUGCAAGCGUUAUCCGGAUUCACUGGGUUUAAAGGGUGCGUAGGCGGGCAGGUAAGUCAGUGGUGAAAUCUUCGAGCUUAACUCGGAAACUGCCGUUGAUACUAUCUGUCUUGAAUACUCGGGAGGUGAGCGGAAUAUGUCAUGUAGCGGUGAAAUGCUUAGAUAUGACAUAGAACACCAAUCGCGAAGGCAGCUCACUGGAGAGUCACUGACGCUGAGGCACGAAAGCGUGGGGAUCAAACAGG